CGAACGGGUGAGUAACGCGUAGGUAACCUGCCUUGUAGCGGGGGAUAACUAUUGGAAACGAUAGCUAAUACCGCAUAACAAUGGAUGACACAUGUCAUUUAUUUGAAAGGGGCAAUUGCUCCACUACAAGAUGGACCUGCGUUGUAUUAGCUAGUAGGUGAGGUAAUGGCUCACCUAGGCGACGAUACAUAGCCGACCUGAGAGGGUGAUCGGCCACACUGGGACUGAGACACGGCCCAGACUCCUACGGGAGGCAGCAGUAGGGAAUCUUCGGCAAUGGGGGCAACCCUGACCGAGCAACGCCGCGUGAGUGAAGAAGGUUUUCGGAUCGUAAAGCUCUGUUGUAAGUCAAGAACGGGUGUGAGAGUGGAAAGUUCACACUGUGACGGUAGCUUACCAGAAAGGGACGGCUAACUACGUGCCAGCAGCCGCGGUAAUACGUAGGUCCCGAGCGUUGUCCGGAUUUAUUGGGCGUAAAGCGAGCGCAGGCGGUUUGAUAAGUCUGAAGUUAAAGGCUGUGGCUCAACCAUAGUUCGCUUUGGAAACUGUCAAACUUGAGUGCAGAAGGGGAGAGUGGAAUUCCAUGUGUAGCGGUGAAAUGCGUAGAUAUAUGGAGGAACACCGGUGGCGAAAGCGGCUCUCUGGUCUGUAACUGACGCUGAGGCUCGAAAGCGUGGGGAGCGAACAGGAUUAGAUACCCUGGUAGUCCACGCCGUAAACGAUGAGUGCUAGGUGUUGGAUCCUUUCCGGGAUUCAGUGCCGCAGCUAACGCAUUAAGCACUCCGCCUGGGGAGUACGACCGCAAGGUUGAAACUCAAAGGAAUUGACGGGGGCCCGCACAAGCGGUGGAGCAUGUGGUUUAAUUCGAAGCAACGCGAAGAACCUUACCAGGUCUUGACAUCCCGAUGCUAUUUCUAGAGAUAGAAAGUUACUUCGGUACAUCGGUGACAGGUGGUGCAUGGUUGUCGUCAGCUCGUGUCGUGAGAUGUUGGGUUAAGUCCCGCAACGAGCGCAACCCCUAUUGUUAGUUGCCAUCAUUCAGUUGGGCACUCUAGCGAGACUGCCGGUAAUAAACCGGAGGAAGGUGGGGAUGACGUCAAAUCAUCAUGCCCCUUAUGACCUGGGCUACACACGUGCUACAAUGGUUGGUACAACGAGUUGCGAGUCGGUGACGGCGAGCUAAUCUCUUAAAGCCAAUCUCAGUUCGGAUUGUAGGCUGCAACUCGCCUACAUGAAGUCGGAAUCGCUAGUAAUCGCGGAUCAGCACGCCGCGGUGAAUACGUUCCCGGGCCUUGUACACACCGCCCGUCACACCAC
rnacentral:rRNA from 1 species